rnacentral:rRNA from 1 species
GACGAACGCUGGCGGCGUGCCUAAUACAUGCAAGUCGAACGCAGUGGGGACGGGUGAGUAGCACGUGGGUAACCUCCCAUCAGAGGGGAUAACACUUGGCCACAGGUGCUAAACCGAUACUGAUGGAUGGACUCGCUGUGCAUUAGCUAGUUGGUGGGGUAACGGCUCACCAAGGACACGAUGCAUAGCCGGCCUGAGAGGAUGAUCGGCCACACUGGGACUGAGACACGGCCCAGACUCCUACGGGAGGCAGCAGUAGGGAAUAUUGGGCAAUGGACGAAAGUCUGACCGAGCAACGCCGCGUGAGUGAAGAAGGUUUUCGGGUCGUAAAGCUCUUUUGUUAGAGAAGCGGUAUCUAACCAGAAAGCCACGGCUAACUACGUGCCAGCAGCCGCGGUAAUAC